rnacentral:rRNA from 1 species
GUAGCAAUACCUAGUGGCGAACGGCGGAGUAAUACGUGAACAACGUGCCCUAAAGACUGGGAUAUACGGCCGAAAGGCCGGGCAAUACCGGAUGUGGUGACAGCUUGGCAUCAAGAAGUCAUUAAAUGGUUUUUCGCUUUAGGAGCGGUUCACGGCCUAUCAGCUAGUUGGUGGGGUAACGGCCUACCAAGGCUACGACGGGUAGGGGGUCUGAGAGGAUGAUCCCCUCGAGUGGGACUGAGACACGGCCCACACACCUACGGGUGGCAGCAGUUGGGAAUCUUGCACAAUGGGGGAAACCCUGAUGCAGCGACGCCGCGUGGAGGACGAAGGGUCUAGGCCUGUAAACUCCUUUUCUCGGGAAAGACUUAGGACGGUACCCGAGGAAUAAGCACCGGCUAACUACGUGCCAGCAGCCGCGGUAAGACGUAGGGUGCAAGCGUUGUCCGGAUUUACUGGGCGUAAAGAGCGCGUAGGCGGUCUGUUGAGUGAGAAGUGAAAGCUCUGGGCUCAACCCAAAAAUUGCUUUUCAUACUGGCAGACUGGAGUGAUGCAGAGGUUUGUGGAAUUCCUGGUGUAGCGGUGAAAUGCGUUGAUAUCAGGAGGAACACCGAUGGCGAAGGCAGCAAACUGGGCAUUAACUGACGCUGAGGCGCGAAAGCGUGGGUAGCAAACAGGAUUAGAUACCCUGGUAGUCCACGCCCUAAACGAUGGAUACUAGGCGUUGGAGGUAUCGACCCCUCCAGUGCCGCAGCUAACGCACUAAGUAUCCCGCCUGGGGACUACGGCCGCAAGGUUGAAACUC